AAUAAUCAAAAGUUAAAAAACACUAAAGGUCAUAAAAAUUCAUUCAGAUUUAGCAAUUGGAUGAUGCAUCCACCUGAAUUAUUAAAAAGUGUCUGUAUCAGCGAU